UCCGGGGUAGCUCAGUUGGCAGAGCAACGGACUGUUAAUCCGUUUGUCGUGGGUUCGAGCCCCACCCCCGGAGCCA
rnacentral:tRNA from 6 species